GCUGUGAUGAUCUUUAAAGUUUUGUUUAUGAACCCUGUUUGAAUACACUGAUUGCAUCUAGGUCAUUUACUUGAAUUAAAAACGAACUUGCAUCAGUACAAGCACAUUUAUUUCCUCCUGUCUAUGGUAUUUAUUGUUGUUACAAGCCAGAUGAAGAUAAGUAAAGAGCUGAGAACCUGAUCUUUGAACAGACAGAGACCAUAGGUCAGGAGCAGCCUAGGAUGCUUACUGAGGAGCAUCCAAUGAUGACACCAGAGAACCAGGAAGAUACAGUGAUAGUGCUUGAUCUGGUUCCUGUUUCUUCUACUGUUGUCCCUUCCUCUCAGUCUUGUCAGAAGAAGAAAAGACCCAGAAGCAUCUCUCCAGCUGCUUCUCCUCCCAGUCUGUCAUCUGUCUCCCCCCCAAAGAUCAGCCACAUCUGCAUUCAUGUCAUCUGCUGACCAUCCCAUCUCCUUAAGUCAUGGUGGCCGAUAAGAAGAGAAAGCAUAAGUUAAAAUGUUAAGGAAGGAUCCCUUCAAGUGUCAAGUUUGUACCCCAGAUGUGCUUUCAGUUUCUGUAGAUGGAAAUUGCAAGUAUUACCAUUUAAAGAAUGCAGCAAGAUUGGAGGAACAGGCUAUAUUUCAGGACUUUUUCAUAGCCAUGGAUGAAAACGUAGGAAAAUUUGUGGACUGUAUACACAAAUCAACCAAAAAUAUUUUGUGGUGGGCAAUGGUCAGCAGCCAGGGUAAGUAAGUAAGUAAGCUUUAUUUCUAUAGCACUUUUCACAGACCAGGGUCACAAAGUGCUGCACAAAGUGUAAAA